GACGAACGCUGGCGGCGUGCUUAACACAUGCAAGUCGAACGGAAAGGCCCUGCUUUUGUGGGGUGCUCGAGUGGCGAACGGGUGAGUAACACGUGAGUAACCUGCCCUUGACUUUGGGAUAACUUCAGGAAACUGGGGCUAAUACCGGAUAGGAGCUCCUGCUGCAUGGUGGGGGUUGGAAAGUUUCGGCGGUUGGGGAUGGACUCGCGGCUUAUCAGCUUGUUGGUGGGGUAGUGGCUUACCAAGGCUUUGACGGGUAGCCGGCCUGAGAGGGUGACCGGCAACAUGGGAACGGGGAAACGGCCCAGACUCCAACGGGAGGAAGCAGUGGGAAAUAUGGAACAAUGGGCGGAAGCCUGAUGCAGCAACGCCGCGGGCGGAAUGACGGCCUUGGGGUUGUAAACCGCUUUGGCCUGUAACGAGGCGUGGGUGACGGAAUGGGUAAAGAAGCACCGGCUAACUACGUG
rnacentral:rRNA from 1 species